rnacentral:rRNA from 1 species
CCUACGGGUGGCUGCAGUGGGGAAUAUUGGACAAUGGGCGAAAGCCUGAUCCAGCCAUGCCGCGUGAGUGAUGAAGGCCUUAGGGUUGUAAAGCUCUUUUAGCAGGGACGAUAAUGACGGUACCUGCAGAAAAAGCCCCGGCUAACUUCGUGCCAGCAGCCGCGGUAAUACGAAGGGGGCUAGCGUUGCUCGGAAUUACUGGGCGUAAAGCGCACGUAGGCGGACUCUUAAGUCGGUGGUGAAAUCCUGGAGCUCAACUCCAGAACUGCCUUCGAUACUGGGAGUCUUGAGUUCGGGAGAGGUGAGUGGAACUGCGAGUGUAGAGGUGAAAUGCGUAGAUAUUCGCAAGAACACCAGUGGCGAAGGCGGCUCACUGGCCCGAUACUGACGCUGAGGUGCGAAAGCGUGGGGAGCAAACAGGAUUAGAUACCCUUGUAGUC